UACGUAGGGGGCGAGCGUUGUCCGGAAUUAUUGGGCGUAAAGAGCGUGUAGGCGGUUUCGGUAAGUCUGCCGUGAAAACCUGGGGCUCAACCCCAGGCGUGCGGUGGAUACUGCCGGGCUAGAGGGUGGUAGAGGCGAGUGGAAUUCCCGGUGUAGCGGUGAAAUGCGCAGAUAUCGGGAGGAACACCAGUAGCGAAGGCGGCUCGCUGGGCCAUACCUGACGCUGAGACGCGAAAGCGUGGGGAGCAAACAGG
rnacentral:rRNA from 1 species